AGUGAACGCUGGCGGUAGGCCUAACACAUGCAAGUCGAACGGCAGCACAGUAAGAGCUUGCUCUUACGGGUGGCGAGUGGCGGACGGGUGAGGAAUACAUCGGAAUCUACUUUUUCGUGGGGGAUAACGUAGGGAAACUUACGCUAAUACCGCAUACGACCUACGGGUGAAAGCAGGGGAUCUUCGGACCUUGCGCGAUUGAAUGAGCCGAUGUCGGAUUAGCUAGUUGGCGGGGUAAAGGCCCACCAAGGCGACGAUCCGUAGCUGGUCUGAGAGGAUGAUCAGCCACACUGGAACUGAGACACGGUCCAGACUCCUACGGGAGGCAGCAGUGGGGAAUAUUGGACAAUGGACGCGAGCCUGAUCCAGCCAUACCGCGUGGGUGAAGAAGGCCUUCGGGUUGUAAAGCCCUUUUGUUGGGAAAGAAAAGCAGCAGGUUAAUACCCCGCUGUUCUGACGGUACCCAAAGAAUAAGCACCGGCUAACUUCGUG
rnacentral:rRNA from 1 species